rnacentral:rRNA from 1 species
AUUGAACGCUGGCGGCAGGCCUAACACAUGCAAGUCGAGCGAGCGGCGGACGGGUGAGUAAUGUCUGGGAAACUGCCUGUUGGAGGGGGAUAACUACUGGAAACGGUAGCUAAUACCGCAUACCAUCAGAUGUGCCCAGUUGGGAUUAGAUAGUAGGUGGGGUAACGGCUCACCUAGGCGACGAUCCCUAGCUGGUCUGAGAGGAUGACCAGCCACACUGGAACUGAGACACGGUCCAGACUGCUACGUGAGGCAGCAGUGGGGAAUAUUGCACAAUGGGCGCAAGCCUGAAGCAGCCAUGCCGCGUGUGUGAAGAAGGCUUUCGGGUUGUAAAGCACUUUCAGCGGGGAGGCGUUACCCAAAGAAGAAGCACCGGCUAACUACGUGCCAGCAGCCGCGGUAAUUC